CACACACACACACACACUGAAAAAAAUUACUUUGUAAUGUUGUAAAAUAUAUUAAAUUAACCAUCAUAAGUUCUACUUGUAAUAUUGAAAUUCAAGAGCAACAACAAUUUUCUAAGUAAAAUGUUCACAUUUAAUUCAUGUAAUUAAUGAUCUGCGGGUGAAGAGUAACUAUUCUUUAUCUACUUGCCUGAAUUUUAAUCUAAAAGUAUAGCGCGCUUGAAUCUGCCGAUGCGUGUUUGAUCAAGACACUCUACCUGCGCUUUGAAUCAGAGACAGAUGGUUGGGCUUGUCAUGGAGGUGAUGCAUGGCUGGAUUUUCUCAUGUUUAAGGGUGACCUAACUCCAAUACACACUUGAGGUGUGGGGAGGAAGACAGACUGAUGCUUUUCAUGUUGGAUGCAGUUUUGGCUAUAUCAAUACUACCUAGUUCUGUCAGGUUAAAACCCCAUCUUGUUCUGUUUAAGUAAUUUGUUUUUUAUUUUAUACCUCCUGGGGUCAAAACUGUGUAUGGUGCAGCAAAUGCAGUUUAUGUUGGUAAUAGAAAUUGAAUUGUAUUACAGAACAGCAGACACUUGAAGUAGCAUUCAGCCAUACUUACGUUUUUUAUCAUUUUAUUCGCUAUUUUUUAUUUACUUUGAUUCACUUUUUUAUGUUGAAAAAAUAAACUAUUUAAUUCUAUUUUAGUUGUGUGAUUUGUGAUUAAAGGUAUAGACCAGAUGUUCUCAAUGCUGGCACUCGAGGUGCUUAGCUUGUUCAGGUGUUUGAUUAGGGUUAGAGCUAAACUCUACAUGAAAGUUGGAACUCCUGGUAUAGACAAAAUGAAUAUAGUUUAUGUGGUUAUAUUAAUCAAAAAGAAAUUAGCGAUUUUUACAUAAUUGUAGGGAGUAAUAUAUAUUCAGCAAACGAAGUAAAUGGAAAUAUCGAACAAAAACAAAAAACAAAAUCUACUUAUAUACUUCAGUAAACAGAAAUGUACUUAAUAUUUUGUUAAAUACAAUGAAAAAAAAAAAAAAGUGACAAAGUGAUG